UGGCGGCGUCCCACAUACAAAAUAGGGGAAGACUGGUAUAGAUGUUAGCUCAGGGCCAGUCUUCCUCACCAAAGAAAAAGAAAAAAAUGUCAGUGUCAUGAAGACAAGGAAGGGCUGAGGGAGGUUCCAGAUGAACGGAAACUAAAGAGUCACUUUUGAUUUUCCUGGACAGUGAAAGUGACAUCCUGGAGCAGGAAAAUCAGAUUUGCCUUCAAGGGUGUUAUUUGGACAACUGAGCAAGUUUAAAUAUGUUCUGUAGACCAGAUAACGGUAUUGCAUCGAAUGUUAAAUUUCCUGAUGUUGAAAACUGUGCUGGGUUCAUGUAGGUGAAUGUCCUUGUUUGUGAGAAAUAGUUACUGAGGUAUUUAGGGAGAAAGGGACACAACGCCUAUAACUUACUCUCAAAUGAUUAAGAAAAAAGAGGAUAGUUAACAGAUAGAUUGAUAGAAGAUUGAUAGAUAUAGAUAGAUAAAGCAAAUUUUGAGAAUCUGGGUAAAGAGUAUAUAGGAGGUCUUUGUAUUCUUAACAUUUUUCUAUAAAUGUGAAGAUACUUCAAAAUAGAGAGUUAAAAUUGUUGAAAUAUUUCCAUUGAUAAAUAGCCCCUGCCCUCAGCCCCCGACCUCCACCAUCCCCCCCCCAGCACCCUGGCUCCCCAUUUUCUACUCUGGGGUGCCCCCCCCAGGUCCCCAUGCUCUGGUCACUAAAGGGUUGAUGACGGCAGGGCAGGAAGCCCCAGACCCCACUCCCUCAGGGGGGCUCUGCUCCUUAGCAAGUUGUUAAAUAUUUCGAAUGUCCGCUCUGGAGAGCUCCCCGAAGCUAACUUUUGCCUCUGCUCAUUUCGAAAGCUCUCAGCCAUCCUUGGCUACAGAAUGACUCACAGCCCAAAGAAGGGGAGCCCCCCACCCCCUGCUCUCGCACUCCUCAUGCCUCCUCUCGUCAGCUGACAAAGCGCCUUUCCUAGCGUGAGCUCACUCAACCCCUUCCUGUCAUUGACCUCAUGAUCACAGAAAAAAGAUGAUGAUUCUGACACUCUAUGGUUUCCAGGAUCUUCCCGAUGCAAAUGGCUUGCAAAGUCUGGCCCUUGCAGCAUGCCUACAAAGAUCGGAAAUAGCUGGUGUCCAGCAAAAGGGGACUCGCCAAAUGAAUGAUGGCACAUCCAGGCAGCAGAAUAUUACGCAGCCAUCAAAAAGGAGGAGGACGAUUAUGUGCUGAUGUGGAAAGAGCUCCAAGAUCUGGGGUGAAAUAGAAAAAGCGAGGAAUGGAUAGUGUGUCAACCACGCCACCUAUGAAAGAGGAACUUCUCUCUCUCUCUGUCUCUCCACCUCUCUCUCCCUCCCUCCCUUCCUCCCUCUAUCUCUAUCUCUGUCUCUAUCAUUCGAUCUCUCUCCGCAUGUGCACGUGUGUGUGUUUGCUGGCACAGGCACAGACCAUCUCCAGCAGCCGACAUAGGAAACCUCGAACCGUAGCUGCCCCGGGGAGGGGAAGCUGCGAGCCAGAAGGCUGGCAGCGACAGGAAGUCUUCAUCAUACAGGUUUUUGUUCAUCCUGUACACAGACCCAUCCAAGUGCGCGCACUGCCCACUGCCGCAAAAUGCAAAUCAGAUCAAAUAUACAACAGAAUUCGUGGUUCCGCAAUUCUGGGAGUUCAGCAAAGCUUCUAAGAAUAUUUCUUACUGGCGCAAACAUUAAGUGGCUGGGGGGCCCGGUCCUGACCUAUCUGGCCUCUGACGAGGACCGAGAGAGCGUUCGAUAGGGUCCAGCCUGGCGUGGGAGCAGGAGGGGACUGGGAAGAUCCAGCUGCAGGGCCAGCCAGUAGGACUUUGUGCGCUGAUGGAAUGUUCUAGAUCAGUGCUGUCCGAGGUGAUCGCCACCUGUGUGCGUGCUGAGCACAUGCAAUGUGGCGGAUGCAUCUGAAAGACCACACUUUUCAUUUUGCGUCAUUACGAUGACAUUUCAGUAGCCACCUAUGCCGAUGGGCUUGUACCAGGGCGGUGACAGCAAGGAGACGCAAACGGAUGGGAGGAGAACGGGGUGAGGCAGACACGGGACUUACGGGAAUAGCGAGCACGAUCGCCGAGCUCUGUUCUAAGCCCUCUUCCCGUAUGAGCUCAUUGAAUCCACAACAAUGUUGCUCUUGCCACUCCCGCUUUACAGAGAAGACAACUGAGGCCACAGAGAGCUCGAGAGACCCUUCCAAGCCCCCGCAGUUAGCAAGUGGCAGAGAUAGGAGAGAAUUUCUGAGCGUGGGACUCCAGAGCCCUCUCUGAGCGGCUUGCACGCCUAAAGUGUGGCGAGAGUGACAGCCACGCACGUAAGGCAAAAAGCCACAAAGUUCGAGGGAGGGAAUGUGCCACACAUCAGAAAACGAAGGAAGAGCCGCAGACGCCGCGUUCAAGAAUUUGUAUUUUCUUCUGGGGUCAUGGGGAGCCAUGGAUGGUCUUUGAGCUGUAGAGGGACUAGAUUCGAAUUUCGGUUUAGAAAGAUCCCUCCGGCCACUGUGAGGAGGUGAGACAAGAAGCAAGAGGACCGGAGAGGAGGCAGGGGGGAGGAUCCAGACCUGUGAGGAUGGGGCUGGGCCGGGGUGACGGCCAAGAGGAGGAAGAGAAGCUGGAAGCCUCGAGUGCUCAGAGGAGAGGCAUGGCUUGACCUCAGUCAUGCAGCUGGUGUGUGGUAAACUCUGCCCCAGGCCCUUCCCUUGCUCUCUGGGCGUCGGUUUCCCCAUCCUUCCAGUCGAGAAAGUCCUGCCAGCUGUCCCCCCAUCACAGUGAAAAUGACAGACCGACUCAAAGACGUGAGAAAGCCCAUAAACACACAGAAGGCCAAGUCUUUUUUUUUUCCCUGAACAUCCUCUUCUCUGUUCCUAUUGGGACUCAGAGUCUUUAAAAACAUCCUCCCACGGAACCACACGAAAGUAUUGUGGGCUGUGACCUCUGAGCUACCGGCCACAAGGGUGGGGACCGACAUUUCAACUCAGAUUUACCUUCUUGAAUUUGCACAACCUUUGCGACUCCAACCCCUAAGCGUUAAGAAUCAGAAACACACACAUUUUGAAAACCACAUGAAAAAGACGAGCCUCCAGAGCCUUGGAAGGUGCAAUGAACUGUUUCUCGAGUCAGCGAAAAUAAAAAAGCAGAGGGCAGCGUAGACACACAGACAGUCCCAGGCCCCGGAGAGUGGAAAUAUAAGUGGGUACAACUUUGGGCGAUAUCUGUUGAAAUAAAAAUUGCCCAUGCCUUGGAUUCAGCAUUUGCAGUUCUGAAAACCCAGACAUGGGUCCAAAGAUAUAGUUUUGGUGUGAAAGACAAAAUGUUGGAAACAACCUAAACCUCCAUUCAGGUUGGAGCCUCCCACUGGAAUAUUAUACAGCUGAUAGAAAGAAAGAGGCAACUCCCUUGAAAUACACAGGUAUUGUAAUAGUACCUGCUUUAUAGGUUGUUUAAGAUGAAAUUAUUACAAGUAAAGUGCAUAGCACAUGCAGUAGGCACUCAAUACAUGCUGGUUAAUAAUAUAUGUUACUCUCGAAAAAGCAAGAUGUAAGAUAACAUGUAAAACAUACUUCAAUUUGCAGGGGGCGGGGAGAAAGGAUAGACACGUCCCGUGCAUUGAGCGCCAACUGUAUGCCAGGCGCUGUUGCAAGAACUUUCCAGGGAUUAUCUCGUUGAAUUCUCUCAACGAUCCCAUGAUGUGGGUUCUGAUUCUUUGGGCUUUCUAUCCCCAUCGUGAAGAUGAGGAGAAGGCGGAACAGCAGAAACAGGUCUUCCCAGCUAUCACACAGAAGGGGCAGCAUUUGAACCCCGUUUCAGUGUGACCCUCAUGUGCAACUUCUCCUGACUUCAUUUCCUGCCUAUCGGUCCUUGAGCACCUGUAGACCGUUUCUGGAAGGAUGCACGACAAACUGGUACCCACGGUUGCGUCUGGGGGCAGUGACAAGGAGUGGCUUUCCACUGUGGGACUUGGGACUAUUUUAUACAGAAAGAAAAAGCAGUCGAAGCUAGUGGUGGGCCGCGUUCCGAAAGCCCCGGUGGGGUCUGAGAAGGGAGAUGCGGGAACGAAGCCGCAGCCAGCCCCUCCCUGGUCCAGCGCAUGCGCCGUUUCCUCUUUCUCCCAGAUGCAGCGGGACCAGAGCCUCCACACGCAGGUGUCAAUCACAGCCAUGCCUCUCUCAGCCGGGACCUCGGGGUGCAGGAGUGCAAGGGGCCCCGCGUCUACCCCGGAGACAGUCUCCCUCCGAGACGCACAGAGUCCACGGGACAGCCUGGGUCUGCCGCCAACUGCUGAAGGACCCGGGCCAGCUCCGCACCUCCCCGGGCUUCAGUUUCCCCAUCUCUACGAUUCAGAGCCUCUGAAAAGUCCAAGGCCCCAGGCAGCUGUGGAAAAGCUCACGAGUCCAACUGGCUGGAACUUCCCUGGGGUCCUGGGAAGCCGAGACUGGGAGCCUCAAGGCAGGUUGCUUGGAGGCCCAGAGAGGCCAAGCAGGUCUGGGGGGGUGGCCCAGCACUCAGGGACUGGUGGCAUUCCUUGAGCCACAACCAUCCUUUCCAGCCUCAUUCCACGUUUUCUUGGAAACAUGCUGGAGCCUGGAGCGAGGAAGGAUCCUAUGUCAGUCUCCUAUGGCUGCUGUAACAAAUUGCCACAAACCCCAGUGGUUUAAAACAACAGAAAUUUAUCCUCUCACAGUUCGGGAGACAAAGGCCAGAAUCAAGGGGUCUGUGGGGCCACGCGCCCUCCGUAAGUUCUAAAGGCUAAUCUGUUCCUGCGUCUUCCAGCUUCUGCUGGCUGCCAGCAUCCCUCGGCUUGUGGCCGUCACUCCAAUCUCCCCCUCUACGAUCACAUCUUCUCUCCCACUGUGUGACUCAAAUCUGCCUCUGCCUCCUAAAAGGACCCUUGUGAUUCCACUUGAGGUCCCCCUGGAUGGUCUCCUCUUUCAAGAUCCUUAACUUGUCUGCAAAGUCCCUUUUGCUAUUUAAGCCCCAGGCUCCAGGAAUUAAGAUGUGGACAUCACUGGGAACCAUUUUCCAGCCUGCCACCAUGGGCACGACGAUGCAACGAGCACAGAAACGGGCUCACUUUGCCCACGCUUUUCUGCAGCCCUACAAUAUAUCACGCACAUCUUUCCACCACGGAGAGUAUUUUUCGACAGCGACCGUCCAUUUGUAGGAUCUGGCUUUCCUUCCAUGCCAAAGGUUCCGGGGAAAAGAGAUGUCAAUUCCAAUAAUCCUACAAGGGCCGUACGUGAUGAAGUCAGACAACUGUGAGAUGUAGGAACAGCCCACACGGCAGCCCUCACUUCUGGAACCAACUGCAGAAUUUGGGGGGCACCAAGACCACCCUGGAUCUGACACCGAGUGCAAGUUUGAGGGUCCCCAACCCUCCUCAGGUUUGAGCAUUUGCUAGAAGGACUUUCAGCACUCUCUGAAAGCUGUUGUGCUCACGGUUACACUUUAUCAUAUCGAAGGAUGGAGAUUAAAGUCGGCCAAGGGGGCCGGCCCCGUGGCCGAGUGGUUAAGUUCCCGCACUCCGCUUCAGUGGCCCAGGGUUUCAUCGGUUCGGAUCCUGGGUGCGGACGUGGCGCCGC